rnacentral:rRNA from 1 species
ACCGUUAUAACCGGCGAUUUCCGAAUGGGGAAACCCAGUGUGAUUCGUUACACUAUCAUUAACUGAAUCCAUAGGUUAAUGAGGCGAACCGGGGGAACUGAAACAUCUAAGUACCCCGAGGAAAAGAAAUCAACCGAGAUUCCCCCAGUAGCGGCGAGCGAACGGGGAGCAGCCCAGAGCCUGAAUCAGUGUGUGUGUUAGUGGAAGCGUCUGGAAAGGCGUGCGAUACAGGGUGACAGCCCCGUACACAAAAAUGCACAUAUUGUGAGCUCGAUGAGUAGGGCGGGACACGUGGUAUCCUGUCUGAAUAUGGGGGGACCAUCCUCCAAGGCUAAAUACUCCUGACUGACCGAUAGUGAACCAGUACCGUGAGGGAAAGGCGAAAAGAACCCCGGCGAGGGGAGUGAAAAAGAACCUGAAACCGUGUACGUACAAGCAGUGGGAGCACGCUUAGGCGUGUGACUGCGUACCUUUUGUAUAAUGGGUCAGCGACUUAUAUUCUGUAGCAAGGUUAACCGAAUAGGGGAGCCGAAGGGAAACCGAGUCUUAACUGGGCGUUAAGUUGCAGGGUAUAGACCCGAAACCCGGUGAUCUAGCCAUGGGCAGGUUGAAGGUUGGGUAACACUAACUGGAGGACCGAACCGACUAAUGUUGAAAAAUUAGCGGAUGACUUGUGGCUGGGGGUGAAAGGCCAAUCAAACCGGGAGAUAGCUGGUUCUCCCCGAAAGCUAUUUAGGUAGCGCCUCGUGAAUUCAUCUCCGGGGGUAGAGCACUGUUUCGGCAAGGGGGUCAUCCCGACUUACCAACCCGAUGCAAACUGCGAAUACCGGAGAAUGUUAUCACGGGAGACACACGGCGGGUGCUAACGUCCGUCGUGAAGAGGGAAACAACCCAGACCGCCAGCUAAGGUCCCAAAGUCAUGGUUAAGUGGGAAACGAUGUGGGAAGGCCCAGACAGCCAGGAUGUUGGCUUAGAAGCAGCCAUCAUUUAAAGAAAGCGUAAUAGCUCACUGGUCGAGUCGGCCUGCGCGGAAGAUGUAACGGGGCUAAACCAUGCACCGAAGCUGCGGCAGCGACACUAUGUGUUGUUGGGUAGGGGAGCGUUCUGUAAGCCUGUGA